rnacentral:rRNA from 1 species
ACUCCUGCGGGAGGCAGCAGUGGGGAAUAUUGGACAAUGGGCGCAAGCCUGAUCCAGCCAUGCCGCGUGAGUGAUGAAGGCCCUAGGGUUGUAAAGCUCUUUCACCGGUGAAGAUAAUGACGGUAACCGGAGAAGAAGCCCCCGGCUAACUUCGUGCCAGCAGCCGCGGUAAUACGAAGGGGGCUAGCGUUGUUCGGAUUUACUGGGCGUAAAGCGCACGUAGGCGGACUAUUAAGUCAGGGGUGAAAUCCCGGGGCUCAACCCCGGAACUGCCUUUGAUACUGGUAGUCUUGAGUUCGAGAGAGGUGAGUGGAAUUCCGAGUGUAGAGGUGAAAUUCGUAGAUAUUCGGAGGAACACCAGUGGCGAAGGCGGCUCACUGGCUCGAUACUGACGCUGAGGUGCGAAAGCGUGGGGAGCAAACAGGAUUAGAUACCCCGGUAGUCCCAUGA